rnacentral:rRNA from 1 species
AACGAACGCUGGCGGCAGGCUCAACACAUGCAAGUCGAACGCCCCGCAAGGGGAGUGGCAGACGGGUGAGUAACGCGUGGGAACAUACCCUUUCCUGCGGAAUAGCUCCGGGAAACUGGAAUUAAUACCGCAUACGCCCUACGGGGGAAAGAUUUAUCGGGGAAGGAUUGGCCCGCGUUGGAUUAGCUAGUUGGUGGGGUAAAGGCCUACCAAGGCGACGAUCCAUAGCUGGUCUGAGAGGAUGAUCAGC